UACGGAGGGUGCGAGCGUUAUUCGGAAUCACUGGGCGUAAAGGGCGCGUAGGCGGCCUGGUAAGUCAGGGGUGAAAUCCCACGGCUCAACCGUGGAAUUGCCUUUGAAACUGCUGGGCUUGGAUCCUGGAGAGGGUGGCGGAAUUCCUGGUGUAGGAGUGAAAUCCGUAGAUAUCAGGAGGAACACCAGAGGCGAAGGCGGCCACCUGGGCCAAGACUGACGCUGAGGUGCGAAAGCGUGGGGAGCAAACAGG
rnacentral:rRNA from 1 species